rnacentral:rRNA from 1 species
AGAACGAACGCUGGCGGCAUGCCUAACACAUGCAAGUCGAACGAGACCUUCGGGUCUAGUGGCGCACGGGUGCGUAACGCGUGGGAAUCUGCCCUUAGGUACGGAAUAACAGUGAGAAAUUACUGCUAAUACCGUAUGAUGUCUUCGGACCAAAGAUUUAUCGCCUAGGGAUGAGCCCGCGUUGGAUUAGCUAGUUGGUGGGGUAAAGGCCUACCAAGGCGACGAUCCAUAGCUGGUCUGAGAGGAUGAUCAGCCACACUGGGACUGAGACACGGCCCAGACUCCUACGGGAGGCAGCAGUGGGGAAUAUUGGACAAUGGGCGAAAGCCUGAUCCAGCAAUGCCGCGUGAGUGAAGAAGGCCUUCGGGUUGUAAAGCUCUUUUGGCGGGGACGAUGAUGACGGUACCCGCAGAAUAAGCCCCGGCUAACUUCGCGCCAGCACCGC